rnacentral:rRNA from 1 species
AUUGAACGCUGGCGGCAUGCUUUACACAUGCAAGUCGAACGGUAACAGCACUUCGGUGGUUGUCGGGUGGCGAACGGGUGAGUAAUACAACGGAACGUGCCUAGUAGUGGGGGCUAUUUACUGAAAAGGGUAGCCAAUAGCGAAUAAGAUGUAAGAUUGAGAGCAGGUGGCUUCAGGGCUUUGGGAUAGUAUGGGUGUCGAUGGGAGAUGGGGUGGUGGCGGAUUAGAUAGUUGGUGAGGUGAAGGCUUACCAAGGCGACGAUGCGUAGCCGACCUGAGAGGGUGACCGGCCACACUGGAACUGAGACACGGCCCAGACUCCUACGGGAGGCAGCAGUAGGGAAUUUUCGACAAUGGGCGCAAGCCUGAUCCAGCAAUGCCGCGUGCAGGAUGAAGGCCUUCGGAUUGUAAACUGCUUUUAUACGGAACGAAAAACCCUCUUCUAAUACAGGAGGGUCUUGACGGUACCUUAAGAAUAAGCACCGGCUAACUACGUG